rnacentral:tRNA from 1 species
GCCCGCGUAGCUCAGGGGAUAGAGCACCGCUUUCCUAAAGCGGGUGUCGGAGGUUCGAAUCCUCUCGCGGGUGCUA